CAGAAAGUAGUUUAUUUAAAAUAUUAAUUUUGGGGAUUAAUGAAAAGUGUUUGACUUUUUUCUGA
rnacentral:tRNA from 1 species